UAAAAUGUAUCGACAAAGUAUGCUUCGAGGAAUGUCACUCGCACUUUGGCUCAGUAAUCUAACAAAUUUAAUUAAUGUCUGGUCCACAGCCGAACCUUGUGAUUAACUAGAGGACAGUAAACGUGAAUGCCACUAAAUACUUAUUUAAAGAAAAGGACACGAAGCGAAUUCGAGGAAUCUGCAGAACUGGCAGUUGUCAAAGGACGAGCAUGCAGACCAAAACAGACAGCAGAACAACAGCAAGGAAAGCACAUAAAAUGGACAAAGAUUCACACACACACGCACGCUGGCAAGUAAAGCGGAAACUAGGAACGCUAACGGAAAUGCAGCAGCUUUAUAAGGAAACAGCUUGGACAAGUUGGCAAGGCAGAAAAACAGAAAGAGAGACAGAUAGAAUAGCACAGGCAAGGAGCAAGCUGGCCUGGCAGUCAAGUGGCCCUGGUUUCAACUAAAACUAGACGCCCGAGUUGUUAUUUCUGAUUUUGUUGGUUUUACAGUUAACGGACUCUCAGCUGUGGCAUGCUUCGUAAAGCUGCAAUGGGCGGCACUUGGCGGCUGACUUUGAUUCUAUUUAAAGCAAACAACACACACAAAUGAUGCCCCGUUCGUGCCUUGUCUUGCCCAACUGAACUUCGACUACUGUUACUGCAACUGCAACUGUAACUGCAAUACCAUUAAAGUAAAUUAUGUGGCAAAUGACAAAUGCAACGUUGAAAGCAAAAAGAGGAAACAGAGGAAAACGUAGAACCGCAAAACUUAGCAAUGAUGCAUAAGUGUUCAUGUAUUUCGGCAUUACUUAAACUCAACAUGGAAGCGCAACGCAAAAGUUUCUUAAACAUUUUCCCGACGCUCGUCAUCUGUCAGCAUCAGCAUCAGUAUCAGCGUCAG